rnacentral:tRNA from 1 species
UCCGGCGUGGGGUAAUUGGCAGCCCGCGGUCUUUUGGUGUCCGUUGUUCAGGUUCGAGUCCUGACGCCGGAGC